UCUCAUCUCUAAUUCCUAACCUGGUUGCGGUUCCCAUCUCUUCUAAUAAAUAAAAGGUAAACUAUUUGUAAUUCUUCGUUUUGUGAAACUAACAUUCCAGUCUAUGGCUAAAGUUUUGACUCUAACACAGAUCAUUAAAGUAGAAGAGAAAAAAAAAAUCAAAACGUAAUUCAAGUAGUCUAACUAGGUCAACAAAGUCAUUGUUGGUUUCCCUUCACACUUUCCUACAAUUUACUUAGGAUAUGAGAUUUAC